rnacentral:rRNA from 1 species
GACUAACGCUGGCGGCGUGCUUAACACAUGCAAGUCGAACGGAAAGGCCCUGCUUUUGUGGGGUGCUCGAGUGGCGAACGGGUGAGUAACACGUGAGUAACCUGCCCUUGACUUUGGGAUAACUUCAGGAAACUGGGGCUAAUACCGGAUAGGAGCUCCUGCUGCAUGGUGGGGGUUGGAAAGUUUCGGCGGUUGGGGAUGGACUCGCGGCUUAUCAGCUUGUUGGUGGGGUAGUGGCUUACCAAGGCUUUGACGGGUAGCCGGCCUGAGAGGGUGACCGGCCACAUUGGGACUGAGAUACGGCCCAGACUCCUACGGGAGGCAGCAGUGGGGAAUAUUGAACAAUGGGCGGAAGCCUGAUGCAGCAACGCCGCGUGCGGGAUGACGGCCUUCGGGUUGUAAACCGCUUUCGCCUGUGACGAAGCGUGAGUGACGGUAAUGGGUAAAGAAGCACCGGCUAACUACGUG